AAAAAAAUGAACAAGGUUUCCGUAGGUGAACCUGCGGAAGGAUCAUUAUCGAGUUUUGAACGGGUUGUCUGCUGGCUCGCAAGGGCAUGUGCACGCCUGUCUCAUCCACUCUCAACUUCUGUGCACUUUUCAUAGGCCGGCUUGUGGGUGCGUUCGCGCACUUGUAGGUGUCGGGCUUAUGCUUUACUACAAACGAUUCAGUUUUAGAAUGUCAUACUUUGCUAUAACGCAAUUUAUAUACAACUUUCAGCAACGGAUCUCUUGGCUCUCGCAUCGAUGAAGAACGCAGCGAAAUGCGAUAAGUAAUGUGAAUUGCAGAAUUCAGUGAAUCAUCGAAUCUUUGAACGCACCUUGCGCUCCUUGGUAUUCCGAGGAGCAUGCCUGUUUGAGUCUCAUGGAAUUCUCAACCUUCGGCUUUAUUGACGAAGGCUUGGACUUGGAGGUCGUGCCGGCUCUCGUAGUCGGCUCCUCUGAAAUGCAUUAGUGCGAACGUUACCAGCCGCUUCAGCGUGAUAAUUAUCUGCGUUGCUGUGGAGGGUAUUCUAGUGUUCGCGCUUCUAACCGUCUUCGGACAAAUUUCUGAAUCUGAGCUCAA
rnacentral:rRNA from 1 species